rnacentral:rRNA from 1 species
GGAAGGUGCGAGCGUUAAUCGGAAUCACUGGGCGUAAAGCGCGCGUAGGCGGUUAGGUAAGUCAGAUGUGAAAGCCCCCGGGGCUUAACCUGGGGAACUGCGUUUGAUACUGCCUAACUAGAGUGUGAUAGAGGGAAGUGGAAUUCCACAUGUAGCGGUGAAAUGCGUAGAGAUGUGGAGGAACACCAAUGGCGAAGGCAACUUCCUGGAUCAACACUGACGCUCAGGUGCGAAAGCGUGGGGAGCAAACAGGAUUAGAUACCCUGGUAGUCCACGCUGUAAACGAUGUCUACUAGCCGUUGGGAGGGUUUGCCUCUUAGUGGCGCAGCUAACGCGAUAAGUAGACCGCCUGGGGAGUACGGCCGCAAAGGUUA